AUUGAACGCUGGCGGCAGGCCUAACACAUGCAAGUCGAGCGGAUGAGGGGAGCUUGCCCCUGGAUUCAGCGGCGGACGGGUGAGUAAUGCCUAGGAAUCUGCCUGGUAGUGGGGGAUAACGUCCGGAAACGGGCGCUAAUACCGCAUACGUCCUGAGGGAGAAAGUGGGGGAUCUUCGGACCUCACGCUAUCAGAUGAGCCUAGGUCGGAUUAGCUAGUUGGUGGGGUAAAGGCCUACCAAGGCGACGAUCCGUAGCUGGUCUGAGAGGAUGAUCAGUCACACUGGAACUGAGACACGGUCCAGACUCCUACGGGAGGCAGCAGUGGGGAAUAUUGGACAAUGGGCGAAAGCCUGAUCCAGCCAUGCCGCGUGUGUGAAGAAGGUCUUCGGAUUGUAAAGCACUUUAAGUUGGGAGGAAGGGCAGUAAGUUAAUACCUUGCUGUUUUGACGUUACCAACAGAAUAAGCACCGGCUAACUUCGUG
rnacentral:rRNA from 1 species